GGGUAAAGUGUACGGGAAGUUCGGGUGUUCGGCGUGUGUUUGGCGUUUCCUUUUCCUACGUUGUCCGCGCCCUUUGUCUCACCGUGACCUGGUAUAUUCCCACUUGUUGCUCGCUUUUUACGGGCUUCUUGUUGCCUCGAAGAUCAUCAUGAUUGCCUCCGACGCAGCCACAUCAAAGAUUCAGAGGCCACAGCCAGAACGGGAAAGGUUCACAUAGGUUGGAGGAAUGCUCGUUGAUAAGAAGAUCCUGGCACAGUUUACCAUGGCCUGCCAUGGUGGACCAGGCAAGCUUGCAAGCGUCUUGCUUCACCGUGCGUUCACAGAGGAAGACCUCAUGGGCCACUCACUCUUUGGAAACAACACCAAGGGGUAAAAAGAGGCUCUUGACCCCGUCAGGGUCAAGGCUGGU
rnacentral:lncRNA from 1 species